UACUACAUGCAAAGUACAUUUUUUUGGUUUGGAAUAUUACAGCCUGGGAUAUGUCAAUGAUUAGCAGCAACAUUUUUAUGCAUUAUUAUUUUUUGUGCAUUGUCAAAUAAUCACACUUGUACCGCUAAAGCCUAGUUCACAUUACACGAUUUUCAUGGCGAUUUUGACGUCGCAGAGGAUCUUGAGAGCCACCUUGGGUCAGAGGUGAGUUAGCAGAUAGUCUGCCACGACUAAUCCUUGUGUGUGAACAAGCCUACGAGCAAGUCGCCCCCUUGUCUGUGACUGGGACUGGAUAUCUGGCAUGCUAGAAAACUUGAGAAGUCUGACAUGACUGACAAAGAGCAUCAGCCACUGAGAGGCGGGAUACUUCCCACUUCAGCAUGCAGGAGGACGGAAGAAAUGUGAGGAGGACAAGCCGGCAAGCAACAACAACAAUGGUGGCAUCCACAGGAUCAUGGGGAGCACAUUGUGUUUGGACCCAGGCCCUGGAGGCAGAUCUGAUUCAACACUGGAAAGAAUAUCCAUGCCUUUACGAUGUGUUGUGUCCAAGUUAAAAAAACGUAGUUUGGUGACAUCACCGCGUUAUCUGCAGCUCUGUCAGCAAGGGCUCGGUGGAGAAAUCUGGUGGUGUGCACACACAGGUCGUAACACAGUUGGCGAGCCUCCCGCUAACUGAAACACAUCACCAGGUGUGAACACUCAAAAGAUUAUGAUAGUCUCCGCAACGCAAAAUCAGGGUGAAAGUCGUGUAAUGUGAACCAGCCUUAAGCGCAAAAAAUGUGCUUUGCAUAAGGUGGCUUUAAAAAAUAUCAUACAUUAAUAUUAUUUCCAAUUUUUUUUUUUUUUUUUUUUUUUAAAAAGAUCAAUUCCAAGGCCAAAGCCCAGACUGACACCCAGAUAUAAUAAAAUGCAUUUAUUAUGCUUUAAUGGAAGUGGGAUAGAAAAUUGCAGUUUGAAUGGGCGAAUUUACGCACGCACACACACACACACACACACACACACACACACAGUGCGAUCUUCGUGAGGUGGAGACGAGGCGGAGAAAAUAAAAAGUGAAUUGAGGGUGAGAAAGACAGGGAACUUAAAAACCAAAUGCCACGUGAGGGAGUGUUUUGGAUUUAAACCAAAUGACAGGGUGGAGCUCAGUAAUGUGUACGAGCCGGUGUGCCGGGUUUGUUCUAAAACCAUCUCAACAAAAAGAUCAUCCAAAUUUUUUUUAUUAAGCUACUAGAUAGGCAGGUCUAUCAUACCAAAAUGUAAACUAGAGACAUAGAGGAAGUCAAAAAUACCUAAAUUAUUUGGUCCCUUUAAGUGAUACCAAAAUCUGCCUUGGCCCCUGGACUAUCCUCUAAAAAUCAGUCUGAGCUAUGUCAUUUUAAGAGAGUCGCACACAGUAUAUAAUAUUCAAUAUCCAAAGAAGCUUGAGUGUAUUUAAGCAGUAGCACUUUUUAAAUUGCCAUACCUUUAGGCUAUUUUCUGGAUGUUUAAUACAACUCUGCAUAUAAUCAUUUGUUCAAAGAAGCUCAAAGCCAUAAUAAAUAAACUGACAUUACCAAGGUCACAGUUACUGUCUGAAGAGUGAAAAAUAUGUUUUCGAUAUUACCACUAGAACAUCGACUUUUAACAUUAUCUAAAAAUUUUAAAUAUAGUCAAGCUAGAACAAGAGUCUACAGCCAUGCUAGCAGCUCUGUGAGGUUGUGCUAACUAGGGAUGUCAGAAGAACCGAUACUUUGGUAUCAAGUCCAUACCUCAAUUCUGUAAGCAUGGUGGUACUCAAAUUUCUCCCGCAUUGUAGACACAACGGUUGCUAUUAUUCAUGACCCAACGAGGCAGCAUAAGGGGCCGUUCAGAUGUAGCGUCUUUUGCGCGCACAAAUCCAUUAGCUUCAAUAUAGACGCGAGUCAAGCGCGCUCACAAUCCAAAGCGACGCCGUAGCAGCGCGCAUUCGGUGCGACGCACCUGUUUUUUUGUGCGCGUCCGUGGCGCACAGAGAUGGAAAAAUCUCAACUUUUUCAAAUGCAGCAAGCGCACUGCAUGUCAUGUGAUAAGAAUUAACCAAUCACCUCCACGGACCUGCUUCUUCCUUUCCGUCCAACGGACUUUACAACAUCCGGUGGUGUGAAAGGCAGCAAGCAAUGGAGGAGCGACUGAUCAUUCUUGUCCAGUGAUACCCAGAGUUAUAUGACCUGUCUUCGUCGUACUACUUUGACUUCCGAAGGAACAAUGCCUGGAGAAUUAUCAGCUGGGAGCUUGGGAUAACUGGUGAGCAUGAUGAUAUGCUAUUUCUGUGUCACUUUUUACUCCCCCUGUGAGUGACAGGCGGUUUUGGUUGCUUAGUAACGGCAGGCGCGACAGUAGCGCAACCUCCGAAGCGCCUUGGAUAAAAGGAUGAAACGGCACAGCUGCCGUUUUCCACGUGCUUUUAGACGCUACAUCUGAAUGGGGCCUAAAUGCAUAAAAGUUUUCUAGUUUGUCGUUUAAAGUCAAAGGAAGAAUCAAGACGCCUACCAGCACAGUAGAACUACAACAACACCUGGAAGACAGCAACAAGUGCAGCUGCAGCAACAGCUUUGUCUCGACUCAUCAAAAAGAAAAGCUACAUGUUUAGCGUUUUUUACUGGUCACCGAGAGCUGAAAAGAAUGUUCAACUUUUGUUAAAACACUGCGCUCGUCACUGUCACUUUUUGCAGGAGGGAUGGGAUAAAUAGCCUACCACAAAGACCAACCGUCACAUCUUACAUGUAAAAGUACUAAACAACAACAACAACAAUGGAGGAAGAAUAUGUUAAUAUACUGCAGGCUAUAUAUUAAUUAAUAUGUUUCCUAUGCGACAAAAUCUAAUUAAUCCACGCUGAUUAGUACUUUGCGUUUGAGGCUGCUCAUCAGGGCUUAGAAUGAAAUUUAGAUUAAAGCUGAAUGUUUUAAUAAAAGGAGUGUAUAUUCAAGUACAUAUGAUUUUUUUUGUUGUGUUGUUUUUUACCGUGGUAUCACGUUAGGUAUCGAGAAUCUUACUGGUAUUGGUAUUGACUACUAAAUUUCUAGUACUUACACACAGUGGACCUUUGAGCUAAAUGCUAACAUCAACAUGCUAACAUGCUGAUAAUAUUGCUAAUAUGCUGAUUUUGAGAAGGUAUAAUGUUUAUCAUCUCACUUUAGUGUGCCAAUUAGCACUAAACACAAAGUCAAGCUGAGGCUGAAAGUCUUUAGUUUUGCAGGUAUUUGUUCUACAAAUUAAAACUUUGACCCAAUGAGAGGAUAUAGCUGAAAAGUGGUUACCAAAAUUAUUACAAGUCAUUCUGUAGGUGACAUGAAUAUCUCUACAAAAUUUCAUGACGAGCCAUCAAAUAGGCCUAGUUAUAUGGAGAUUUAUCUAAAAAUUGAGAAAAAAAAUGCCACCAUCCUGGCGGUGCCAGAGGAAAAGUCUGGGGAUGACCAAAGUCAGUAAGAUUCCACUUGUGUGUACCAUAAAUAUCUGUAACAAUUUUCAUGAUAAUCCAUCCAACAGUCAUCAAAAUAUAACAGUAUGAAAAGCCAUCUCAUGAGACACGCUGAUAGCAUGACUAAAAAUGUAUGUUUCGCAAAUUCCUGCACAAGAUGCACAUAAUCAUUGAAGAAGAAAUACUCAAUCAGACAAGUCUACUUAGUCAAUCAUUCAUUUUCCGUAACCACUUAUCCUGUUGGGGGUCACGGGGAGGCUGGAGCCUAUCCCAGCUGACAUUAGGUGAGAGGCGGGGUACACCCUGGACAGGUCACCAGACUAUCACAGGGCUGACACAUAGAGACAGACAACCAUUCACAUUCACACCUACAGUCAAUUUAGAGCCAUCAAUUAACCUGCAUGUCUUUGGACUGUGGGAGGAAGCUGGAGUACCUGGAGAAAACCCACGGAUAUUUAAGUCUACUUAAACAUGAUAAACUGCAUUAACACAUCCCCCUCUCUGUCUCGCUCCAGGUGGAUGGAAGGAGAACAAAUACUCCGGCCUCACCAGCUGCUGGUCUGAAAAUCUGGGAACGUUCCUCUCGCAUCUACCUGAGGACCGACUUUGGCCUGUUAGUGGAGUUUGAUGGACACAGCACAGCAGAGAUCACUCUACCACGCAUAUAUAAAAGGAAAGUGGGAGGUCUGUGUGGGAACUUUGACGGUCAAAAGCAGAAUGACUUGAUGAAGCCAGAUGGUACCCGUGCCAGGAGCAUUCAAGAGUUUGGAGAGAGCUGGAGAGUGUGAUUAUGUGACAAAUGUAAGGAUGAGACACAGCACUUAAAAAACCCUG